AGAGUUUGAUCAUGGCUCAGAACGAACGUUAGCGGCGCGCCUAACACAUGCAAGUCGAACGCGACUGGGGGCAACUCCAGUUGAGUGGCGCACGGGUGAGUAACACGUAGGUAAUCUCCCCCCGAGUGGUGGAUAACCCUCCGAAAGGAGAGCUAAUACAGCAUGAGACCACGGCUUCGAAAGGAGCUGAGGUCAAAGCGGAGGAUCGCAAGACUUCGCGCUUGGGGAUGAGCCUGCGGCCCAUCAUGGUAGUUGGCGGGGUAAUGGCCCACCAAGCCUUAGACGGGUAGCUGGUCUGAGAGGAUGAUCAGCCACACUGGAACUGAGACACGGUCCAGACUCCUACGGGAGGCAGCAGUGGGGAAUCUUGCGCAAUGGACGAAAGUCUGACGCAGCGACGCCGCGUGGGUGAUGAAGGCCUUCGGGUUGUAAAGCCCUGUAGGGAGGGACGAAUAAGUUUCAGCUAAUACCUGAAGCGAUGACGGUACCUCCUUAGCAAGCACCGGCUAACUCUGUGCCAGCAGCCGCGGUAAGACAGAGGGUGCAAACGUUGUUCGGAAUUACUGGGCGUAAAGCGCGUGUAGGCGGCUAUGCAAGUCGGAUGUGAAAGCCCUCGGCUCAACCGGGGAAGUGCACCCGAAACUGCAAAGCUAGAGUCUCGGAGAGGAUCGUGGAAUUCUCGGUGUAGAGGUGAAAUUCGUAGAUAUCGAGAGGAACACCGGUGGCGAAGGCGGCGAUCUGGACGAUGACUGACGCUGAGACGCGAAAGCGUGGGGAGCAAACAGGAUUAGAUACCCUAGUAGUCC
rnacentral:rRNA from 1 species